rnacentral:lncRNA from 1 species
UUCAUUUUACUCUUUUUUCAUUAACAAACCUCACUGCCUUUUUUUCACACCUCUAUCUUUUUUCCUUUACUAUUUUAUUUUGUUCGUCUUUAUAAUCUUUGAAUUAACUAAUUUUCUUCGCUUUCUUCCUCUUUCAAAUUUUGUCAUUGCCCUGUCACCACCGUAUUAUUUCACCGUCGUUAUUUUCAUUCAUGUUAUUUGAUAUUAAAAAAAUAAUAUUUUUUAUCCAUGAUUUAUGCUUAGCACUUGAAUCUAAAAGAAGAUAAUUAUGAUUUACUCUAAAAAGAAAAAAAUGAAUUCACCAUCGGAGUUAUAACGGCUGACAAUGGGAAGAAGAAAGAAAGAAUUGAAUGGUUGGCCUAGAAGAAAAGGAAGAGGCGGGGAGUAGAAGAUGAGGUUAAUGAGGUUUUCUUUCAUUCUUUUUAGCUAAUUGUUAAUAGAAUAAUAAAUUAUUUUAUUUUUAAUUAAAAAUUGAUUUCUUAAUUAUUAUUUUGAUCUCAUGUGUCACAUGUUAUUGCUUUAUUUUUUGUCUUUUUGUGACACCAACGUGUGAGUAUAAUAAGUAAUAAAUUUUAAAUUCAUUAUCAUUUUGUAUUUAUUAUGUAUAAAUUUUUUUUAAAUUGAAGUGUUUGAUAGAACUAAAGGUUUGUUAAGGUGUUUAUGUGAAUUUUUCGGAUAAUUUUACGGGCUUGGGAUAAUUUAAGCUAAUUACUUAUUUACUAUAUAUUUCAUUUGUUUUAAUUUUUUGUCUUAUUUUAACUAUAUAAUUUUAUAGUGUUAAAUCUAUCACAUGAAAAUUUAGAGUUUUAGACUUGCUAAAAAAGAGACAAUCAUUUUAAAAUAGAAAAAUAACAUGUAUGUCCGCAGAAGCAAACUACUUACAACUAAAUGUAAACCAUGCCCUAUUUCCUUGUAGUUUUAAUUAUUUAUCUCGUUUUUAAUUCUUUUCUUCAUUUCUUCUUCUUUUCUUUUUUUAUUUGUGCUUCUUUUUUUUUUUUCUUUAUAUGCUUUUUUGUUCAUUUAUUUUUUUCUCAAAUUAUUUUAUUCUUUAUUUUCU